CGAAAAGAAAAAAAAUCUCCCGUACCUUAUCCGGCUUCCCCUCCCCCCGUCGCGCACUUUCCCUCGCAACCACCCCCGAUCCCACCCGCAACCCCCCGACCAACUGCCCCCGGCUCCGGCGCACCUGCCGGCCCCGCCUCCUUCCGGCUCACCGCCGCCCCAGCCUCCUCUGGGCGCGGGGCCGUCCACGCCCCAGCCUCCUUCCGGUGGCACGAGGCCACCGCCGCCCCCGCCUCCUCCUGGCCCGCCGGCGACCCUGCCUCUUCCUGCCGAGGCCGCCUCCUCCUCCAGGCACGUCGCGCCCGUGCCUCCUUCCGGCGCGAGGCCGCCGCCUCUUCCAGGCACGCCGGUGCCCCUGCCUCCUUCCGACUCAAGGGCACUUCCGCCACAAGGAAGUAACCCUCCUUCAUCCACCGCCCGAUGUGUCGCCGCCCCCAAUGAUCCACUCCCUUCCUCUGGCUCCUGGUCGAUGAUCAUGGCCCAUCCUGCUGCUUGCCUCCUUCCUCGCGUAUGCAUAAAAAAAUAGGUGAGUCGCUGCAGUCCAAGUCGCGCCAUAGCAGCAGGGCGACUCUUCUAGGAUGCAUCUCACGCUCAACCGGCUCCAAUUUUGCGCGCAUGGGGUUGGUGCUGCUCCAGCGAGCUCCUCCAUCCCCAGCUUGUCCCUGAAUGCAGACACUGCACCGCGCAGGCUCCUACCCACCGUUCCUCCUCUCUGCUUCUUCACUCUUCACUUCUCUAGAUUUUGGUUGAAUUUCACCCUGCAUCCCCGACGUAGCGCUUCUCUGGCUCCUCCCCCGCUUGCUGCCAGGUCCGUCUCUCCUUCCUCCCCUGCUUGCCGUCAUGUGCGGCGUUGGACGUGGCUACUUGAUGGAGUGAAGCUGGCCUCCGAGCACCGUCAGUUGCACUGCACCCUACAAAAAAAGAACAGCCGCAAGUUCAGAAUCAGAAAAAUUAGAAGUUCAAGAAGAACAAAGGCACUGCCUUCACUCGUGUGCUUGCAAACUGCUAGGUUGUAGCUCGUAUGUUGUUUGCAACUAUCUUCAAUUUCUUCAGUAGCUGGUACACACUUUGCCAAAAUCUAGUACUUUCAGAAUGGUAAAGUUGAUAGUUGGCCUACAGGGACAACCAUGUUGAUGGCGAUUGAAAAAGGAUUCUGAAAUAAUAUUAUUGAGACUGAAGACCAAGUUUGAUAAUGCAGACCAAGUUUGAUAAUGCACGAUGUCAGAGGAUUCCAGGGCUUUCUCUGAGGUGGUUGAUGGCUUCCGAGAAAUGCGUUCAUAUCUCACAAGUUUCAGGGGUUCAAGUUCAUCUAUAUAAGAAGGAAUUCCAAUUUUGUUGCACAUCUGUGUGUGGAAGAGGCGCUGAAACUUGAUGUGCUUACUAUUUCUUUUCUUGUAACACCUAGGUACAUCACAUGGUUUCAAUCACAGUUAUUUUUCACUGCCAUGGCCCGACACCUCCUCCAUCUCGGUGCCACCGUCAUGACCUAGCCUACAUUUGCUGGUUGCUUCUAGCUGAUGUUGUUGCGUCCUGCCUCGCCGUCUAACUGAUGUUAGUGCGCCGCUGCUGCAGUUCAGCUAGAGUGGGAGAAAGAUCUCUUUGAGAGUUUAGCUGCUGUUGCUGUCUUUAAUUUUUGUUUUUGAACUUGUUGGUUAAAGAUAAUGAUGUUGCUUUCUACAUAUGGCCUUCCUGUGGAUGUAUCAUUCUCCAUCCGCUUGGAAGCUUCAACAUUCUGAAUGAUCAUAACAAAAUAAAAUACAAUCUUAGUGUGCUU